UAGAUGUAAUGGACAACACGAUCUGAAUGUAACAUCUCAACUCCUCAAAAUUUAAACUGUAAUGAACCAAACAAAUUAAUGAUGACUUCUAGUUUUUUCUGGCAAUUGAUUUACAUUUUUUAUUCUUCAUUGUAAAGCUAAGAAAUUCUACUGAAUGAUGGUCUUAUUUCUACAUGAUAUCAUAAGAAAUACAGUUACAUUAAGCUGUAUUUUGAAAAUAUUUAUUGAUUUCAUUAAAAAGUAGGAAGAAAAUAAAAGGCACAAAGGCUAAAGAAGCAAGAAUGGCUAAAAAAGGAAAUAAUUCUUUAGAGUAAGGAAGUUUAAAUAAAGCUCAAUACAGCAAACACCAAUUGAUUAUCUGUCAUUUGCAAUAUAUUGGAAUAUACAAAUAGAAUUCCAGAUUUCAGGAGUUUAUACACUGAUAUUGAAAGAGGAAAUGGGGAAUAAGACAAGUGCAUAAUAAACACUAGGAAAGAGGCACAUAUAAAGUGAUCCUGGGGUUGGAUGAGGAAGAGAUCAUAUACAAAUGGAGAGAUUAAGGAAGGUUUAAUGGAGAAGGUGACGUUUGAGGUAGGCCUAGAAGAACAUUUGUAAUUUAGGCUGGUGGGAAUGGUGUUGCAAGUACUAUUGGCUUUGGGAACAGCAUAAGCAGAGGCAUGGAAGUGGGAAACUGAAAGGAAUUUUGGGGGAAAUGAAUAAUAAUUUCUUAAAAUAACAAUCACUCCUCGUAAGAAUUUAGGUUAAUAAAUAUACCAACCUGCCACAGUAAGUUUUCCAGAUGUCAUAUUUUCUCCCGCGUAAAAUGUGUAUUUUCCUUCAUCAUCUUUCAUCAUAUUUAGAACUGUCAAUUUAUAUAUUUUUCCAUGUGCUUCAAUUUUAUAUUUAGAACUGGGCUUGAUUUCCUUGUCCUUAAAAUUCCACAGGACAUCAAUUCCAGAGUGGGACAGCUCAACCUCAAACACCACAUUUUGAGUUUCUGUACAGGUUGUCUUUUUCCCGUCGAUGACAAAGCUGUAUUCUCCCUGGUCCUCCUUGGUUACAUCCUUGACCGUGAGGUUCUGACGUCCACGACGAGAUGUAAUUGUAUAUUUGCCAUUGGAUUUAAGCUCCACAUCAUUAUGAUACCAUUUUCCUUCUAUAUUUUCUGGGGAUACAAUGCACUCUAAUUCUCCUGAAUAUGAUUCUGGAACUUCUAUGUCCUGAAGUUCUUUCACAAACUCAACAACUGCACCUGAAGUGUAUAACAGAAAGAUAAAUCAAUUUUUUUGGAGAGCCUACGUCCAGGGGACAUUCUUGCAGGGGACAUCCGUGCAGGAGACAUCCUUGCAGGUGACAUCCGUGCAGGAGACAUGCGUAUAGGAGACCUGCUCACUGAACGUGGAGAGAGAGAUCUGCAAAACAAAGACACACAAUACUUUCGUGAGGCAUAAAGAAAACUCAGCAAAACAAACUUCAUUUUGUCUUAUUCAUUAUUCAUGUUAUUUUAGAAUUUACUUCUUGCACGUAUUAGAAGGCACCUCAAACUCAUUCAGAUCUAAAAUAGAAUAUAUUAUUGUUGCCCCCACAACUAUGUUUUUCCUAUAUUCUCAAUUUUAGCUGGUAGUCAUUCAGUAUAUCCAGGUACCCAGGCUCAAAAAUCUUGGAAUAAUCCUCAAUACUCUCUUUUCCUUACCACUUGGAUUUAAUCAGUCACUAGACUUUUUUGAUUUAACUACUAAAACAUCCUAAUAAAUGUUGGUUGGAUAAGUAAACCAAUGAAUACAUUUAUGGAAAAAUAAAAAAUACACAUUCUUUAUCUCAGAGGAGGAAAACAUAGAAAUGAAUUUGGAAACAAAACAAAGCAAAACAAGACUCCAUCUACACAUUGCAGCCAGACUGACUUGGAGUUUGAAUGCUGGCACCACCGCUUACAGGCUGGAUGAAUUAAGACAAUUUUCAUAGAUUCCCAGGGCCUCAGUGUUCCUAUUUCCAAACCAAUAAUAGUCAUCUUUUUAUUGCAGGGCUGUUGUAUAAAUUUACAUAUGUAAAAAUCAGGUGUCAAAUAAGAGCUAUUGUGAUAUUAGCUAUAGCACUAGGAAAAUAAACAGUAUGUUACACUGAUGAAAAUUCUUUGCUCAUCUUACACAGGGGCAAGAAAUAAAAACUUCUGGCAAUUGUUGGUGUUGCCAAUGGUGCAACAUACCAUGAAGAUUAAGGAAACUUAGCAACAGUGAACUUGGACCUUCUAAUAGCUGUCUAACCCCGAGCUCAUCACUUGAAAA
ensembl:lncRNA TTN-AS1 TTN antisense RNA 1